AUUGAACGCUGGCGGCAUGCCUAACACAUGCAAGUCGAACGGAGAUAGGGGCAACCUUAUUUCAGUGGCGGACGGGUGAGGAAUGCGUCGGAAUCUGCCCUAUGGUGGGGGAUAACACAGGGAAACUUGUGCUAAUACCGCAUAAUGUCGAGAGACCAAAGCAGGGGACCGCAAGGCCUUGCGCGAUAGGAUGAGCCGACGCCCGAUUAGCUUGUUGGUAGGGUAAUGGCCUACCAAGGCGACGAUCGGUAGCUGGUCUGAGAGGAUGAUCAGCCACACUGGGACUGAGACACGGCCCAGACUCCUACGGGAGGCAGCAAAGUGGGGAAUAUUGGACAAUGGGCGCAAGCCUGAUCCAGCAAUGCCGCGUGUGUGAAGAAGGCCUGCGGGUUGUAAAGCACUUUUGUUCGGGAAGAAAUCAUGUCGGUUAAUACCCGAUGUGGAUGACGGUACCGAAAGAAUAAGCACCGGCUAACUUCGUGCCAG
rnacentral:rRNA from 1 species